AAUCAUUUGAUUCAGAUCGGGACUUCAAAGCGCCUAUCGCGAAUCAUUUGAUUCAGAUCUGGACUUUAAAGCGCGUAUCGCGAAUCAUUUUAUUAAAUAUAAUUCAGCA